rnacentral:sRNA from 26 species
CUUUAAAAAUCUGGAUCAAGCUGAAAAUUGAAACACAGAACAACAUAAGUUGUUCGUGGGUCUCUCAAAUUUUUGCAACGUGAAGUGAAACAUCUUCGG